rnacentral:misc_RNA from 1 species
AAGUCGUAACAAGGUUUCCGUAGGUGAACCUGCGGAAGGAUCAUUAGUGUGGGUGUUUGAGAGUGUUGUGCUAUGUCAUUGUGUCACUGUCUCUCGGGACAGCUUUUACCCGUCCAAUCAAUCCAUUUACAUGCGAACCAAUAAAACUGCCAGCAACGAAUCACUUGGUUCUC